rnacentral:rRNA from 1 species
CGUAGGGAGCAAGCGUUGUUCGGAUUUACUGGGCGUAAAGGGCGCGUAGGCGGCAAAUUAAGUCAGCUGUGAAAUCUCCGAGCUUAACUCGGAACGGUCAGCUGAUACUGAUCUGCUAGAGUGCGGAAGGGGCAAUCGGAAUUCUUGGUGUAGCGGUGAAAUGCGUAGAUAUCAAGAGGAACACCUGAGGUGAAGACGGGUUGCUGGGCCGACACUGACGCUGAGUGAGCGAAAGCCAGGGGAGCAAACGGGAUUAGAUACCCCGGUAGUCCUGGCCUUAAACGAUGAAUACUUGGUGUCUGGAGUCUCUAUAGCUCCGGGUGCCGUCGCUAACGUUUUUAGUAUUCCGCCUGGGGAGUACGCACGCAAGUGUG